rnacentral:rRNA from 1 species
UACGUAGGGGGCAAGCGUCAUCCGGAUUUACUGGGUGUAAAGGGAGCGCAGACGGCAGUGCAAGUCUGAUGUGAAAGCCCGGGGCUCAACCCCGGAACUGCAUUGGAAACUGUACAGCUUGAGUGUCGGAGAGGUAAGCGGAAUUCCUAGUGUAGCGGUGAAAUGCGUAGAGAUCGGGAGGAACACCAGUGGCGAAGGCGGGUAACUGGACUGCAACUGACGCUGAGGCGCGAAAGUGUGGGGAGCAAACAGGAUUAGAUACCCU